rnacentral:rRNA from 1 species
AACCUGGUUGAUCCUGCCAGUAGUCAUAUGCUUGUCUCAAAGAUUAAGCCAUGCAUGUGUAAGCACACACUGUUUUAAAAGUGAAGCCGCGAAUGGCUCAUUACAACAGCCACAGUUUAUUAGAACUUACAAUCAUGGAUAACUGUGGUAAUUCUAGAGCUAAUACACGCACAAAAACUUCAACUGAAUUGGUUGAAGUGCUUUUAUUAGAACAAAAACCGAACGGCGUUUGACGAAUGUUGAACGUCGAAACUGUUUGGUGAAUCUGAAUAACUAUUUCUGAUCGCAUGGUCUAGCACCGGCGACAUCACUUUCAAGUGUCUGCCUUAUCAACCUUCGAUGGUAGUCUAUGCGACUACCAUGGUGAUAACGGGUAACGGAGAAUCAGGGUUCGACUCCGGAGAGGGAGCCUGAGAAACGGCUACCACAUCCAAGGAAGGCAGCAGGCGCGCAAAUUACCCACUCCCAGCUUGGGGAGGUAGUGACGAAAAAUAACGAGACGAUUCUCGUUUGAGAAACGUUAUCGAAAUGAGUACGCUUUACACACGCUAACGAGUAGCAAUUGGAGGGCAAGUCUGGUGCCAGCAGCCGCGGUAAUUCCAGCUCCAAUAGCGUAUAUUAAAGUUGCUGCGGUUAAAACGCUCGUAGUUGAAUUGUGGUCUUAGACAACAGUCCCCCUACAUAGGUGUGGCACGGUUGCUCGAGAUCUUCAUUCGUGGUUGCUGUUGUUGCUCUUCAUUGAGUGUCAAUGGUGCCUCGAGAUUUUACUUUGAAAAAAUUAGAGUGCUCAAAGCAGGUUGUGAUGCCUGAAUAAUGGUGCAUGGAAUAAUAGAAUACGAUCUCGGUUCUAUUUUGUUGGUUUUCGAACCGGAGAUAAUGAUUGAAAGGAACAGACGGGGGCAUUCGUAUUGCUGCGUUAGAGGUGAAAUUCUUGGAUCGCAGCAAGAUGAACAAUUGCGAAAGCAUUUGCCAAGAAUGUUUUCAUUAAUCAAGAACGAAAGUUAGAGGUUCGAAGGCGAUCAGAUACCGCCCUAGUUCUAACGGUAAACUAUGCCAACCAGCGAUUCGCCGAAGUUCAUUUAAGACUCGGCGAGCAGCUUCCGGGAAACCAAAGUGUUUCGGUUCCGGGGGAAGUAUGGUUGCAAAGCUGAAACUUAAAGGAAUUGACGGAAGGGCACCACCAGGAGUGGAGCCUGCGGCUUAAUUUGACUCAACACGGGAAAACUCACCCGGCCCGGACACUGGAAGGAUUGACAGAUUGACAGCUCUUUCUUGAUUCAGUGGGUAGUGGUGCAUGGCCGUUCUUAGUUGGUGGAGCGAUUUGUCUGGUUAAUUCCGAUAACGAACGAGACUCUACCCUAUUAAAUAGUGACAGUAUUGUAUUUUUUGUGCUGAUCACUUCUUAGAGGGACUGGCAAAUUGAAAGCUGCACGAAAAAGAGCAAUAACAGGUCUGUGAUGCCCUUCGAUGUCCGGGGCUGCACGCGCGCUACAAUGAAAGCGUCAACGUGAGUUACGUCCUUACCUGAAAAGGUUUGGCAAUCGAAUGAAACGUUUUCUUGAAUGGAAUAGGGAAUUGCAAUUGUUUCCCUUGAACGAGGAAUUCCCAGUAAGCGUGAGUCAUUAGCUCGCGUUGAUUACGUCCCUGCCCUUUGUACACACCGCCCGUCGCUACUACCGAUUGGAUGAUUUAGUGAGGUGUUUUGACUGGCGCCAGUAGUCGGAUGUAUUCGGCUUCGCGCCGGGAAAUUUCCCAAACCAAAUCAUCUAGAGGAAGUAAAAGUCGUAACAAGGUUUCCGUAGGUGAACCUGCGGAAGGAUCAUUA